rnacentral:rRNA from 1 species
UACGAAGGGGGCUAGCGUUGCUCGGAAUCACUGGGCGUAAAGCGCCCGUAGGCGGCUUGUUAAGUCAGGGGUGAAAUCCUGGAGCUCAACUCCAGAACUGCCUUUGAUACUGGCGAUCUUGAGUCCGGGAGAGGUGAGUGGAACUGCGAGUGUAGAGGUGAAAUUCGUAGAUAUUCGCAAGAACACCAGGGGCGAAGGCGGCUCACUGGCCCGGUACUGACGCUGAGGUGCGAAAGCGUGUGGAGCAAACAGG